rnacentral:rRNA from 1 species
AUGUGGAUCUCACCCAGGCCGACGUCGACGAGACGCGCAAGGCGCUUGAGAGGUCGCCGUCACCGCGCGGAUCGGGAUCGGGCACCGUCCUCAACCCGUCACCACCUCCACCCCGCCACCUCCUCUGCGUCAUCCACCCGGGCCCCAACAACAACAAGGACCUCCACCGUCUCCAUGCCUCGCAGAUCAGCGCCCGCCUCUGCUUCAGGCGCCGCUCCGGCAGCAGAGCGAGCCACAACACCACGACAACUACAUCAAGCCGCCCAAGCACGAUUUUCCGCGCUUCGACGGCACGGCACCGUACCUCAGGCUAGAUCGUUGCCGCGCAUACUUUGA